UUUCCGUAGGUGAACCUGCGGAAGGAUCAUUCAUAAUAAAGUGUUUUAUGGCACUUUUUAAAAAUCCAUAUCCACCUUGUGUGCAAUGUUAGAUCUCGUCAAUCUUGGCGAGAUUUUUAUACAUCAACUCGUUCUUUAACUAAUUUGUCUGAAAAAUAUUAUGAAUGCUUAAUUCAAAAUACAACUUUCAACAACGGAUCUCUUGGCUCUCGCAUCGAUGAAGAGCGCAGC
rnacentral:misc_RNA from 1 species